rnacentral:lncRNA from 1 species
GUUGCAGGUGGACCCUGCAUCCCUACAGGGCAGCGGGGAGCUGCUGGGAGGUGGCCCAUGCCGCGGCCAGCUCCCUCGGCGCCUUAGCCUGGCCACAGAGCGGAUGCCCAGCCCAGCGAGGGACUGGAGCCGGCUCCUGCUUCCCCCCUCUGGCUGCCUCCUCUCUGGCUACCUCCAUUCCUCCCCCCUCCCUCUCUUCUUCACCCUCUCUCUCCCCUUCUCCACUCCUGACACGUCACCGCUUCUGCCUCGGCCUGACUAAAAACGAUGCUUGCGCGAGCAGGCAGUUCACACAGGCGCCCAGGGGCCAGCAGGACACUGCCGCCGACUUGGCGACGCAGCUGAGGCACCCAGGGUGGCCAGUCCUCACCUGGCUCUUUGUGGCCUGCACCCAGCGUCCACCAGGCCCGAUCAAUACCAAUUUACAGUCAAACGCAGGGGCCGCCUUCCUGUUAAUGAAUUUCCCCUGUGCUCACCAGCUUCUAAUGAACCCGUUAAAGAGGGUUUAAGUAAACUUAGCAAGCGGCAAACUAAGCACUUUGGAAUACUUAAUUGUAUCGAUAUUUUUCCACCGCAUUUCAAAAUUUCUCUGUGAUGGAGAAGUAGAGGUCCCUCUUUCCCAUCAACUUCAGUGGCCACCAUGAAGCCGGGAGUUUGAAAACUACAGAGAAUCCCAAGGAGAGGCAUGGAACCUCCAGGUCAGGUCCCCACCGAAGGAAGGGAAGCCACCCCAGCCCAGCCCGGCACUGGGAGGAGACAGAAACCCACAGGGUGCCAGGAGCAGCCUGGGAUGGAGGCCUCACCUUCGCCAAGAUGAGGCCAGCAGGGGGUGCAGGUUAAUUGCGCCCGCGGCCCCCACCCCGGCACCACGACCCUUGCCCCGCGGCGUCUGGAGGGGGCCGAAUCCUUGCAAAAUGCCCGAUCGUCAAAGUUCGUGCAUCCCAGCUGGACGCGCCCUCCCGGCCCUGCUGGCUGCUGGCUCUGCAGUUUUCCAAAUGCGGACGAUGCCACGAGCUGGGAGAAAACUCCAAAGCACCCCCCGCCGGAGCCACGCGGUGCCGGUACCACGGCUCCCACUGUGCCGGCAGGCACACCCCCACCGCUGCGGCCGGCAAGUUUUCGGGGGCCGGCUGGGGAGGCUGAGAAGGACUCACCGGGGAGCCCCUCCAGCCAGGCUGGCGACAGUGGCGGCGGGCGCAGGGUCGCGGCUCCCGGGGCACCUCGCUCAGGCGGACCCCUCGCCCCUCACCCCUUGAGCCAAGCGGCGGGCGGAGCGGCCACUGGAGAGAGCAUUUCCUGGAAGCCGAGGACAGUAAUGGAGCCGGGAGCAAACCCCCGGGAGCAGUGGCUUCUGGCUGAGCGCAUUUCCUGCAGCGCUGUCCCUGGGGGCACAGGGCGGGGCGGCAGCCCUCGUGUGCAUCCACCACAUCUUUCACCCUGGAAGAGAGGGUUAGGUGCCUGGAAGGCCGCACCACAGCCUGGUUCUGGCCUCACUGGUUGACCCUGCGGGAGUCCGAGCCCAGAGUCGCGGUGGAGCAGGGGGGCCCUUCGGAGACCCUGGUCUGGGUGCUCCAGGGGCAGAGGGAGGCGACUCUGCAAACUCUCUGAGCCUCAGCUUCCUUGUCCGUACAGUGGGGCCAUGGCCUGUCCUGGGCGGUGAUGAGGCUGGGCUGAGGGGUGGACAGAGCAGAGCCCCUGACCACAGCCUCAGUGGGGGUAGUGUGGUGGUGACAGUUUGGGGAAGGCCCCAGAUAGGGUCACUCAUCUUCCAGUCUUUCAUGAUGCAGAGGAUCAAAUGAAUGAAUGAGUGAAUGAAUGAAUGACUCAAUCAACAGGUCCGUUGAUCAGUUGACCACUAGACAGCUGGGUGGUGGAUAGCUGCUGGUGAGGAUGGGGGAGCAUGGCUGGGACCAUGUUAAUGUGCUCAGCUUUGGGGGUGGAAGUGAGGCUGGGGUCUUAUUCGGAGUAGGGGUGCAAGGCAGGGCUAAUGCCCUUGGAGGGUCAGGCCCUCACCCCUGCCUGGUGCCUACCUCCCCAGGAGGCGUCCAGGGCCAUUUUGGAGCACUAGUCCCUGGUCAGCAGCCAUCCCCUCUGACGACAAGAUUCCACUUUCGGUCACUUCGCUCUUCCUUGAAUCUUUAAAUAAAACAAAACCAAACCUAGGUUUUAUUUUUUUA